GACGAACGCUGGCGGCGUGCUUAACACAUGCAAGUCGAACGGAAAGGCCCUGCUUUUGUGGGGUGCUCGAGUGGCGAACGGGUGAGUAACACGUGAGUAACCUGCCCUUGACUUUGGGAUAACUUCAGGAAACUAGGGCUAAUACCGGAUAGGAGCUCCUGCUGCAUGGUGGGGGUUGGAAAGUUUCGGCGGUUGGGGAUGGACUCGCGGCUUAUCAGCUUGUUGGUGGGGUAGUGGCUUACCAAGGCUUUGACGGGUAGCCGGCCUGAGAGGGUGACCGGCCACAUUGGGACUGAGAUACGGCCCAGACUCCUACGGGAGGCAGCAGUGGGGAAUAUUGCACAAUGGGCGGAAGCCUGAUGCAACAACGCCGCGUGCGGGAUGACGGCCUUCGGGUUGUAAACCGCUUUCGCCUGUGACGAAGCGUGAGUGACGGUAAUGGGUAAAGAAGCACCGGCUAACUACGUGCCAGCAGCCGCGGUGAUACGUAGGGUGCGAGCGUUGUCCGGAUUUAUUGGGCGUAAAGGGCUCGUAGGUGGUUGAUCGCGUCGGAAGUGUAAUCUUGGGGCUUAACCCUGAGCGUGCUUUCGAUACGGGUUGACUUGAGGAAGGUAGGGGAGAAUGGAAUUCCUGGUGGAGCGGUGGAAUGCGCAGAUAUCAGGAGGAACACCAGUGGCGAAGGCGGUUCUCUGGGCCUUUCCUGACGCUGAGGAGCGAAAGCGUGGGGAGCGAACAGGCUUAGAUACCCUGGUAGUCCACGCUGUAAACGGUGGGUACUAGGUGUGGGGUCCAUUCCACGGGUUCCGUGCCGUAGCUAACGCUUUAAGUACCCCGCCUGGGGAGUACGGCCGCAAGGCUAAAACUCAAAGGAAUUGACGGGGCCCCGCACAAGCGGCGGAGCAUGCGGAUUAAUUCGAUGCAACGCGUAGAACCUUACCUGGGUUUGACAUGGAUCGGGAGCGCUCAGAGAUGGGUGUGCCUCUUUUGGGGUCGGUUCACAGGUGGUGCAUGGCUGUCGUCAGCUCGUGUCGUGAGAUGUUGGGUUAAGUCCCGCAACGAGCGCAACCCUUGUUCACUGUUGCCAGCACGUUAUGGUGGGGACUCAGUGGAGACCGCCGGGGUCAACUCGGAGGAAGGUGGGGAUGACGUCAAGUCAUCAUGCCCCUUAUGUCCAGGGCUUCACGCAUGCUACAAUGGCUGGUACAGAGAGUGGCGAGCCUGUGAGGGUGAGCGAAUCUCGGAAAGCCGGUCUCAGUUCGGAUUGGGGUCUGCAACUCGACCUCAUGAAGUCGGAGUCGCUAGUAAUCGCAGAUCAGCAACGCUGCGGUGAAUACGUUCCCGGG
rnacentral:rRNA from 1 species